UGAUGUUCUCUUUCAGCAUUGCUAAGCCAAGCAAUGUGAGUCUGGAUCAGUACCUGGAGGGGAGACCGCUCAGGAACACCAAAAUGCAGCAGGAA
rnacentral:rRNA from 1 species